rnacentral:rRNA from 1 species
GAUGAACGCUGGCGGCGUGCCUAAUACAUGCAAGUAGAACGCUGAAGGAGGAGCUUGCUCUUCUGGAUGAGUUGCGAACGGGUGAGUAACGCGUAGGUAACCUGCCCGGUAGCGGGGGAUAACUAUGGGAAACGAUAGCUAAUACCGCAUGACAACAGUUAUUGCAUGAUAACUGUUUAAAAGGGGCAACUGCUCCACUACCAGAUGGACCUGCGUUGUAUUAGCUAGUUGGUGAGGUAACGGCUCACCAAGGCGACGAUACAUAGCCGACCUGAGAGGGUGAUCGGCCACACUGGGACUGAGACACGGCCCAGACUCCUACGGGAGGCAGCAGUAGGGAAUCUUCGGCAAUGGACGGAAGUCUGACCGAGCAACGCCGCGUGAGUGAAGAAGGUUUUCGGAUCGUAAAGCUCUGUUGUAAGAGAAGAACGAGUGUGAGAGUGGAAAGUUCACACUGUGACGGUAUCUUACCAGAAAGGGACGGCUAACUACGUG